UAAUACGGGGGGGGCAAGCGUUGUUCGGAAUUACUGGGCGUAAAGGGCUCGUAGGCGGCCAACUAAGUCGGACGUGAAAUCCCCAGGCUCAACCUGGGAACUGCGUCCGAUACUGGAUGGCUUGAAUUCGGGAGAGGGAUGCAGAAUUCCAGGUGUAGCGGUGAAAUGCGUGGAUAUCUGGAGGAAUACCGGUGGCGAAGGCGGCAUCCUGGACCGAGAUUGACGCUGAGGAGCGAAAGCCAGGGGAGCAAACGGGA
rnacentral:rRNA from 1 species